rnacentral:lncRNA from 1 species
CAAUUAGAAACCUUCAACAGACCUUCCCUAGAGCAAGUGGCAAAGAGCUUGGUGGUUGGUACCCGAAACCUAAGUUCGAAUCCUAGUUGAUUCACAUUUCUAGUUAAGUUUAUUUUUAAAUGAAAUAAACGAAGCGGGUAGCGUGCUACCUAUCUCUCAAGAAAAAAAAAAUAAAAAAAAAACCUUCAACUUAUGUGUAUCCGCACAUCAAAUACUGAAAAGAACAGA